ensembl:lncRNA
AGGGGAUUUCACCAUAAAGGCAGGGAACCAUGAAAUAUCUGAGAAGUGCUGGAACCGCUCUCCUCUCCAAAUUAUAGCCAAAUACAGUCUUAUUGGUUGAGGGGAAAAGCCUUGGCAGUGCAUAAAGAGCUCAGUGUGUGGCUGAAGUGACCAUGCAACUCCUGAAAAUAAACAGGAAUCAAAUGGAGUGAUUGAUCGAAUAAAUUACUUUCAGCAGCAACCAACUCUCUUUCUCUCACACACAGACACACACAAAACAGAUGCAUAUAUACAAACUCUGUUAACCAGCUUUGCAGAAAAACACACACUUGUAGCGAUUUGCUCCAGUAUUCAGACCAGCUCCAGUUUUGGUAUAGGCAUGUUACAGAGCAGUGUGGUGGUGGUGAGGGGACAGUGGGGUGUUAGGUGAUUAAUAUGGUACAUCAAACUGUAUGAGGCACAGAAUGAUUUUAAUUGUAGGAAUUUUUGUUUUGUUUUGUUUUGUUUUGUUUUGUUUUGUUUUGUUUUUCACGAACUAUCUUGGUCGAGUACGACCUCUUGAUUAUUUUAUGUGAGAUCCAGGAAGGUAAUCAAUUGACAAUAUGGCAGACUUGUUGAAUACUCAAAGCAUUUUUUAGCCCAUGGUUGAUUACAAUAAUACCUUGAUGUCUCAAAAGCUUUUACAACCUAAACAAAGCAAAAUAAUUAAGACCGAAUCUUUUGCUUUUAGUUAACAUUUAUAGUUAUUUAUACUGCUGUCAUAAUAAAUUCAUAGAGGCCUACUAUAGCUUGCGCUUCAAGUAAAAAAAGAAGGUGCUUGAGAAAAUCUUUCCUAUCUGAUUUUGUUUAUGCUGCUAUGUGUGUGUGCACUCUGUGAUGAAUAUCAACUGAAGGUGAUGCUUGACUCACCUUUUAACUGCCAUUUAAAUUGCCAGGCCCGUAUAGUGCAGGGAGGGCCUGAAAUGUAAACCGUCCAAUCUGAUGAACCUGCCAACCGGUCAGAGCCUUUCAUGAGAUGAAC